UACGUAGGGGGCGAGCGUUGUCCGGAUUUAUUGGGCGUAAAGAGCGUGUAGGCGGUUCGGUAAGUCUGUCGUGAAAUCCUGAGGCUCAACCGCGGGCGUGCGAUGGAUACUGCCGGGCUAGAGGGUGGUAGAGGCGAGUGGAAUUCCCGGUGUAGCGGUGAAAUGCGCAGAUAUCGGGAGGAACACCAGUAGCGAAGGCGGCUCGCUGGGCCACACCUGACGCUGAGACGCGAAAGCGAGGGGAGCGAACAGG
rnacentral:rRNA from 1 species